rnacentral:rRNA from 1 species
AGUGAACGCUGGCGGUAGGCCUAACACAUGCAAGUCGAACGGCGGCACAGUAAGAGCUUGCUCUUACGGGUGGCGAGUGGCGGACGGGUGAGGAAUACAUCGGAAUCUACUUUUUCGUGGGGGAUAACGUAGGGAAACUUACGCUAAUACCGCAUACGACCUACGGGUGAAAGCAGGGGAUCUUCGGACCUUGCGCGAUUGAAUGAGCCGAUGUCGGAUUAGCUAGUUGGCGGGGUAAAGGCCCACCAAGGCGACGAUCCGUAGCUGGUCUGAGAGGAUGAUCAGCCACACUGGAACUGAGACACGGUCCAGACUCCUACGGGAGGCAGCAGUGGGGAAUAUUGGACAAUGGGCGCAAGCCUGAUCCAGCCAUACCGUGUGGGUGAAGAAGGCCUUCGGGUUGUAAAGCCCUUUUGUUGGGAAAGAAAAGCAGCAGGUUAAUACCCCGCUGUUCUGACGGUACCCAAAGAAUAAGCACCGGCUAACUUCGUG